GAUGAACGCUGACAGAAUGCUUAACACAUGCGAGUCUUUGGCGAAGCUGUGCUUGCACAGCCUAGCCAAGGCGGACGGGUGAGUAACGCGUAAGGAACUUGCCCUGCAGUCAGGGAUAACAGACGGAAACGACUGAUAAGACCUGGUAAAGUCAGGCGGACUCAUGUCCAGCCUGAUGAAAAGAGAUGCUGCAGGAGAGCCUUGCGUCCUAUUAGCUUGUUGGUGGGGUAACGGCCCACCAAGGCGAUGAUAGGUAGCCGGCCUGAGAGGGUGGACGGCCAAAAGGGGACUGAGAUACGGCCCUUACUCCUACGGGAGGCAGCAGUGGGGAAUAUUGGACAAUGGGGGCAACCCUGAUCCAGCAAUUCUGUGUGCACGAUGAAGGUUUUCGGAUUGUAAAGUGCUUUCAGCAGGGAAGAAAAAAAUGACGGUACCUGCAGAAGAAGCGACGGCUAAAUACGUG
rnacentral:rRNA from 1 species